rnacentral:rRNA from 1 species
CUUGGCGAACAUAGAGUAUUAGAACCACCUGAUCCCAUCCCGAACUCAGAAGUGAAAUGAUACAUCGCCGAUGGUAGUGUGGGGUUUCCCCAUGUGAGAGUAGGACAUUGCCAAGC